rnacentral:rRNA from 1 species
UGUCUUCGGACCAAACGGGGCUUUUAGCUCCGGCUCAAUGAGAGGCCCAAGUGAGAUUAGCUAGUUGGUGAGGUAAAGGCACACCAAGGCGACGAUCUCUAGCUGUUCUGAGAGGAAGAUCAGCCACACUGGGACUGAUACACGGCCCAGACUCCUACGGGAGGCAGCAGUGGGGAAUAUUGCACAAUGGGGGAAACCCUGAUGCAGCCAUGCCGCGUGUGUGAAGAAGGCCUUCGGGUUGUAAAGCACUUUCAGUUGUGAGGAAAAGUUGGUAGUUAAUACCUGCCAGCCGUGACGUUAACAACAGAAGAAGCACCGGCUAACUCCGUGCCAGCAGUCCGCGGAAACACGGAGGGUGCGAGCGUUAAUCGGAAUUACUGGG